GACGAACGCUGGCGGCGUGCUUAACACAUGCGAGUCGAACGGAAAGGCCCUGCUUUUGUGGGGUGCUCGAGUGGCGAACGGGUGAGUAACACGUGAGUAACCUGCCCUUGACUUUGGGAUAACUUCAGGAAACUGGGGCUAAUACCGGAUAGGAGCUCCUGCUGCAUGGUGGGGGUUGGAAAGUUUCGGCGGUUGGGGAUGGACUCGCGGCUUAUCAGCUUGUUGGUGGGGUAGUGGCUUACCAAGGCGUUGACGGGUAGCCGGCCUGAGAGGGUGACCGGCCACAUUGGGACUGAGAGACGGCCCAGACUCCUACGGGAGGCAGCAGGGGGAAAUAUUGCACAAUGGGCGGCAGCCUGAUGCAGCAACGCCGCGUGCGGGAUGACGGCCUUCGGGUUGUAAACCGCUUUCGCCUGUGACGAAGCGUGAGUGACGGUAAUGGGUAGAGAAGCACCGGCUAACUACGUG
rnacentral:rRNA from 1 species